AUGACUACCACACGCAUAGGCAGCAUCUCUAAAGCAUGUUGCUCUUCUUGUGAUGAUAUAAUAUAUCAGAUGAAUCCUCUUACUGAUGAUGACUCCCAAAGACUCUUCUACAAAAGAAUAUUUCCUCAUGGAAGUAAUUGCCCUGCUGAAUUGGAGCUAGUAUCUAGAGAAAUCUUAAAGAAAUGUGGCGGAGUACCACUAGCCAUCAUCACCAUUGCUAGUAUUUUAGCUAGAAAUGGUCAAGAUCUACAGAUAGAGCCAAAGUAUCACUGGGACAACAUACUUGGCUCUAUUGGUCGUGGACUUACGGAAGGUGGUAGUGCGAAGGACAUGCAGAGAAUAUUGUCCUUUAGUUAUUACGAUUUACCUUCUCAUUUGAAGACUUGUUUAUUAUAUCUCAGUAUAUUUCCAGAGGAUUUUGAGAUAAGGAGAGACCGGUUGAUAUGGAUGUGGAUAGCCGAAGGCUUUGUGCAAGGUGGAGAACAAGAAACUGGACUAUUUGAGCUCGGAGAGAGUUACUUCGAUGAGCUCGCAAAUAGAAAUUUGAUUCAACCAGUAGAUGUUGAUGCUACAGGAAGUGCAGAAGCUUGUUGUGUGCAUGAUAUGGUGCUUGAUCUGUUAUGUUCCUUGUCCAGUGAACAAAACUUUGCUACAAUAGUAGAUGGUACUCACCAAAGCAAUCUUAUUUCACAUAGGAAGAGUCGCAGAUUAUCUUUUCAAAACAGCAUGUCAGAGCCCACCAACCAUCGGGUCGAUACCACAAGUAUGCCACAAGUGAGAUCUAUUGUUCUCUUUAGAACAAAUAUUGAUCUAAUCCAGACUAUUUCAUGCUUUCAAGUUUUACGUGUAUUGGAUUUGGAAGGUUGUGAUCUUGGGAGAAAUCACCACAGUAUUGAUCUCAGGCAUAUUGAGAAUUUAUUACACCUAAGGUAUCUGGGGCUAAGAGGAACUUCUGUUCGUGAGCUCCCUGUGGAAAUA
rnacentral:rRNA from 1 species